UGUACUGUGAAACUGCGAAUGGCUCAUUAAAUCAGUUAUCGUUUAUUUGAUAGUACCUUACUACAUGGAUACCUGUGGUAAUUCUAGAGCUAAUACAUGCUAAAAACCCCGACUUCAGGAAGGGGUGUAUUUAUUAGAUAAAAAACCAACGCCCUUCGGGGCUCCUUGGUGAAUCAUAAUAACUUAACGAAUCGCAUGGCCUUGCGCCGGCGAUGGUUCAUUCAAAUUUCUGCCCUAUCAACUUUCGAUGGUAGGAUAGUGGCCUACCAUGGUGGCAACGGGUAACGGGGAAUUAGGGUUCGAUUCCGGAGAGGGAGCCUGAGAAACGGCUACCACAUCCAAGGAAGGCAGCAGGCGCGCAAAUUACCCAAUCCCGAUACGGGGAGGUAGUGACAAUAAAUACUGAUACGGGGCUCUUUUGGGUCUCGUAAUUGGAAUGAGAACAAUUUAAAUCCCUUAACGAGGAACAAUUGGAGGGCAAGUCUGGUGCCAGCAGCCGCGGUAAUUCCAGCUCCAAUAGCGUAUAUUAAAGUUGUUGCAGUUAAAAAGCUCGUAGUUGAACCUUGGGCCUGGCUGGCCGGUCCGCCUCACCGCGAGUACUGGUCCGGCUGGGCCUUUCCUUCUGGGGAACCUCAUGGCCUUCACUGGCUGUGGGGGGAACCAGGACUUUUACUGUGAAAAAAUUAGAGUGUUCAAAGCAGGCCUUUGCUCGAAUACAUUAGCAUGGAAUAAUAGAAUAGGACGUGUGGUUCUAUUUUGUUGGUUUCUAGGACCGCCGUAAUGAUUAAUAGGGAUAGUCGGGGGCGUCAGUAUUCAGCUGUCAGAGGUGAAAUUCUUGGAUUUGCUGAAGACUAACUACUGCGAAAGCAUUCGCCAAGGAUGUUUUCAUUAAUCAGGGAACGAAAGUUAGGGGAUCGAAGACGAUCAGAUACCGUCGUAGUCUUAACCAUAAACUAUGCCGACUAGGGAUCGGACGGGAUUCUAUAAUGACCCGUUCGGCACCUUACGAGAAAUCAAAGUUU
rnacentral:rRNA from 2 species